rnacentral:rRNA from 1 species
UACGUAGGGUGCAAGCGUUAAUUGGAAUUACUGGGCGUAAAGCGUGCGCAGGCGGUUUUGUAAGUCUGUCGUGAAAGCCCCGGGCUCAACCUGGGAAUUGCGAUGGAGACUGCAAGGCUUGAAUCUGGCAGAGGGGGGUAGAAUUCCACGUGUAGCAGUGAAAUGCGUAGAGAUGUGGAGGAACACCGAUGGCGAAGGCAGCCCCCUGGGUCAAGAUUGACGCUCAUGCACGAAAGCGUGGGGAGCGAACAGG